ACAGCAGUAGCCACGGUAAUACGUAGGGUGCAAGCGUUAAUCGGAAUUACUGGGCGUAAAGCGUGCGCAGGCGGUUAUAUAAGACAGAUGUGAAAUCCCCGGGCUCAACCUGGGAACUGCAUUUGUGACUGUAUAGCUAGAGUACGGCAGAGGGGGAUGGAAUUCCGCGUGUAGCAGUGAAAUGCGUAGAUAUGCGGAGGAACACCGAUGGCGAAGGCAAUCCCCUGGGCCUGUACUGACGCUCAUGCACGAAAGCGUGGGGAGUAAACAGGAUUAGAUACCCCUGUAGUCCCUGUCUCUUAUAC
rnacentral:rRNA from 1 species